rnacentral:rRNA from 1 species
ACUGCUCAGUAACACGUGGAUAACCUGCCCUUGGGUCCGGCAUAACUCCGGGAAACUGGAGAUAAUUCCGGAUAACGCAUAUAUGCUGGAAUGCUUUAUGCGUAAAAUGGAUUCGUCUGCCCAAGGAUGGGUCUGCGGCCUAUCAGGUAGUAGUGGGUGUAAUGUACCUACUAGCCAACAACGGGUACGGGUUGUGAGAGCAAGAGCCCGGAGAUGGAUUCUGAGACAUGAAUCCAGGCCCUACGGGGCGCAGCAGGCGCGAAAACUUUACAAUGCGGGAAACCGUGAUAAGGGGACACCGAGUGCCAGCAUCAUAUGCUGGCUGUCCAGGUGUGUAAAAUACACCUGUCAGCAAGGGCCGGGCAAGACCGGUGCCAGCCGCCGCGGUAACACCGGCGGCCCGAGUGGUGAUCGUGAUUAUUGGGUCUAAAGGGUCCGUAGCCGGUUUGGUCAGUCCUCCGGGAAAUCUGACAGCUCAACUGUUAGGCUUUCGGAGGAUACUGCCAGACUUGGAACCGGGAGAGGUAAGAGGUACUACAGGGGUAGGAGUGAAAUCUUGUAAUCCCUGUGGGACCACCUGUGGCGAAGGCGUCUUACCAGAACGGGUUCGACGGUGAGGGACGAAAGCUGGGGGCACGAACCGGAUUAGAUACCCGGGUAGUCCCAGCCGUAAACGAUGCUCGCUAGGUGUCAGGCAUGGCGCGACCGUGUCUGGUGCCGCAGGGAAGCCGUGAAGCGAGCCACCUGGGAAGUACGGCCGCAAGGCUGAAACUUAAAGGAAUUGGCGGGGGAGCAC